UUUGCACACAACCCAUUAAGAGCAUCUAGCUACCCCUGAUGCCCUUAAGUCAUGUGUGCAGAAAGGAAGGCUCGGCCCUUAGCCUUCACGGGUCUCCUACCGUGGCCCGCGAAGUGAACAUGGCUGAUACAACA